rnacentral:rRNA from 1 species
AUACGGAGGGUGCAAGCGUUACUCGGAAUCACUGGGCGUAAAGCGCGCGCAGGCGGCUAUUUAAGUUGGAUGUGAAAGCCUACGGCUCAACCGUAGAACUGCAUCCAAAACUAUUUAGCUAGAGUGUGGGAGAGGAAGAUGGAAUUAGUUGUGUAGGGGUAAAAUCCGUAGAGAUAACUAGGAAUACCAAAAGCGAAGGCAAUCUUCUGGAACACUACUGACGCUGAGGCGCGAAAGCGUGGGGAGCAAACAGUAUUAGAAACCCUAGUAGUCC